rnacentral:lncRNA from 1 species
CCUGGGGCUGGCCUUGUGACUUGCUGUGACCAAGAGAAUUCUGCAGACACAAUACUGUGCCUCUCUGAGCCUUGUAACAGGACUUUCACGGACCUGACAGCUUUUACUUUCACUCUCAGAGCUCUGAGCCACCAUGUAAAGACCCUGCUGGAGAAGGGAGACCAGACAACCCCAAAAGCCCUUUCCAGCCUCUCCAGCCAAGGAGAGGGAUGGGAGUGUGAUGCCAUCUUGACCCUCCAGCCCCAGUCAAGAUCCUCUCCCUUAACACCACUUGGAAACGAGGGUGCGGGUCAUCGCCACAGGAAAGAUGCUUUCUUCAGUGACCUGGAAAUGCUGGAGGCAUGGACUGGAUGGUUGGGACCGAGCCCCUUCCUCACCUGCCAAGCCUCACUCAACACAGAUCCUGGGAGGCAGGAGGGGGACUCCAGCGGAGGGGAGGUGGGACGACGUCCAGCUCCUGAGGCCUCCUCCAGAUGGCACGAGGCUAAACCUGGAUGCGUCCGCUGGCUGAGGCAGCAUAAAUCAGCCGGGAUGAAAUCCCUCCUCGUUGGUGAAGAUACCUGCCACAUUCAGAAUAGUAAACCAGACGCGUUAUUGGCAGCUCCGCAGUGCUAAGGGGAGGCCGGCUCCAGCAUGACAUCAGCCCACUGCUUGACCCAAACCUACUAUUUCACCAGAGAGCCUUGCGCCGCCUGCUUUCCAGAGUACGGAAGAUGCACACGGGGGACAGGGAAGAAGGCAUAAAUAAGACACAGACUGGAGACUUUUUGAUGUGUUUAGCACAUUUUUGUGACUUCCUUUAAUACCA